UACAGAGGUCUCAAGCGUUGUUCGGAAUUACUGGGCGUAAAGGGCUCGUAGGCGGCCAACUAAGUCGGACGUGAAAUCCCUCGGCUUAACCGGGGAACUGCGUCCGAUACUGGAUGGCUUGAGUUCGGGAGAGGGAUGCGGAAUUCCAGGUGUAGCGGUGAAAUGCGUAGAUAUCUGGAGGAACACCGGUGGCGAAGGCGGCAUCCUGGACCGACACUGACGCUGAGGAGCGAAAGCCAGGGGAGCAAACGGG
rnacentral:rRNA from 1 species